UGAGCAGAUGGAUCGGAGGUAGUAGGAUUGUUCAUCUCUUGGAUGUGAUGGCCUCAGUGAGGAGGGUGUGUUAGGUAGAAUCCUUGGGCAGCCAGCAAGUCUUAGGACAAUUCAAGGUAGAGGUAGAAUCCUCUACAGAGAGGCAGGAAACAACAGCAUCUGUGUUUGGAGACUUGAAUGCCUUUAGACGGGCUGUAGACAAGACCUGAUGCUGGCUCAGUUGUUCGUGGUCAUAUCACACGGGACCUUCUGUGGCAACUCUGAGGAUCUGGAGUCAGAGCUUUAUUCUUGUUUGUUCACAGUAGAAUCCCAACAGUAUAUGGUUAAGGAAAGCUUCCAGUUAUUACUGUCUCCUCUUCAGGCUCUGAAGGUUGUCUCACAUUUUUGUCAUCCGAGUUUCUGGAUUUCAACUUCACUUUUAUAUCUCUAGUUCAUCCGGGUAGAUUGCUUUUGGGGUUUUAGGUGGGGAUCAACAAUUGCUUCUUCAUAAUGAGCAAGUUUUCACAGUGCAUCUACUGAACCAACAGAAACUCACAUACUUCCUUUUUUGUUAUUUUAUUAAUCUUCCUUUGUUCUGGACAAAACCCAACAAUUUUCAUUACCUUUUCUAUUUUGUUAAGGUUGAAUCUAUUAUUUAUGAACAAUUAUCUUUUACUAUAAAAUAUUGUUUAUAUUUAUUAAAUACCUCAUAAAAAUCUAAGCAGGUAUUUUGUUUGUUAUUGUACUGAAAAAAAAAAGAGAUAAGCCUUUCGAGUUCCUAUGAGGCUAAAAUAUUUUUACUUUUACAUUUCGUUGAUAAUUUUGUUGAGUUUGGAAUUGUGCUAAAAAUGAUUUUUCUUCAGAACUUUGAAAGCAGGGUUUUGCUGGUGUCUCACAUCUAUUAUGCUGGUGAAAUAGCUUGUGAUUUGAGGUACUUUUAAGAAUUUUAAAUUAUGUUCAAGGUUUUAACAUUUUGCAAUAAAAUAUUCAUGUUAUUUUUAAUUUCCCAUUUCUUUUAAAGUUAUCAUGCUAAAAACUUGGUGUUAUACUUUUUUGUGUGAAGGCAUUUGCCUUACUUUCUGGGAAUUUUUCUUAUAUUGUUUCUUUAAUAACUUGCAUUUUCAUUUUUUAAGUUUUGUUUUGCAGCUUGUAUUAACUCAGUGUUAGCAUAUUUUAUUUCUUCUAUUCAUGUUUCAUUUCUUUGCUUCUUUGUUUUUAUUCUAGAAAAUUUCUUUGACCUUAUUUUUGUUUCCUUCUAAUUAUCUUAUUUUGUUUUUGAGAGGUCCCCUAAGAGAUAAAACAUCUUGGAAUGGAGAAGUAUGAGUUUCCCAGGGAAGCAGACUGGCUCCUCAGAGGAUGAUACUGACAAUGGACUGUUAAUCAUGGAUGGCUCUGACAAAGGAAGGACAAACUCAGAGCUCAGUUGGUUCCUGGAAUUUCUUCAAGGCCUCACUAAAUUAGUGAAUCUAACAUUGCAGCCAAUCAGAAAUUGAUCUAUGUAACUUCCCUGGCACCCACCAGUGAAGUUUUAAAUUAUCUAACUUUUGCUAAAAUUUCCCUAGUUUCCUAUAAAAUCGGCUUGCGUGCCUGUGAGGUCACCCUUUUGCUGAAUGCUUAACCUCUGUAUGGUGGUAACUCCUACAGAAUAAAUGCUCUUUGCUUUUGAUACUA